CGAUGAGUAGGGCGGGACACGUGGUAUCCUGUCUGAAUAUGGGGGGACCAUCCUCCAAGGCUAAAUACUCCUGACUGACCGAUAGUGAACCAGUACCGUGAGGGAAAGGCGAAAAGAACCCCGGCGAGGGGAGUGAAAAAGAACCUGAAACCGUGUACGUACAAGCAGUGGGAGCACAGGUUUACCUGUGUGACUGCGUACCUUUUGUAUAAUGGGUCAGCGACUUAUAUUCUGUAGCAAGGUUAACCGUAUAGGGGAGCCGAAGGGAAACCGAGUCUUAACCGGGCGUUAAGUUGCAGGGUAUAGACCCGAAACCCGGUGAUCUAGCCAUGGGCAGGUUGAAGGUUGGGUAACACUAACUGGAGGACCGAACCGACUAAUGUUGAAAAAUUAGCGGAUGACCUGUGGCUGGGGGUGAAAGGCCAAUCAAACCGGGAGAUAGCUGGUUCUCCCCGAAAGCUAUUUAGGUAGCGCCUCGUGAAUUCAUCUCCGGGGGUAGAGCACUGUUUCGGCUAGGGGGCCAUCCCGGCUUACCAACCCGAUGCAAACUGCGAAUACCGGAGAAUGUUAUCACGGGAGACACACGGCGGGUGCUAACGUCCGUCGUGAAGAGGGAAACAACCCAGACCGCCAGCUAAGGUCCCAAAGUCAUGGUUAAGUGGGAAACGAUGUGGGAAGGCCCAGACAGCCAGGAUGUUGGCUUAGAAGCAGCCAUCAUUUAAAGAAAGCGUAAUAGCUCACUGGUCGAGUCGGCCUGCGCGGAAGAUGUAACGGGGCUAAACCAU
rnacentral:rRNA from 1 species